UGAGGAAUAUUGGUCAAUGGGGGCAACCCUGAACCAGCCAAGUCGCGUGAAGGAUGAAGGUCUUAUGGAUUGUAAACUUCUUUUAUACAGGAAUAAAUUGGGGGACGUGUCCCCUUUUGCAUGUACUGUAUGAAUAAGGAUCGGCUAACUCCGUGCCAGCAGCCGCGGUAAUACGGAGGAUCCGAGCGUUAUCCGGAUUUAUUGGGUUUAAAGGGUGCGCAGGCGGGAUGUUAAGUCGGCGGUGAAAUUUUGCAGCUCAACUGUAAAAGUGCCUUCGAUACUGGCCUCCUUGAGUGUGGAUAAAGUAGGCGGAAUUUGUGGUGUAGCGGUGAAAUGCUUAGAUAUCACGAGGAACUCCGAUUGCGCAGGCAGCUUACUAAGCCACAACUGACGCUCAUGCACGAAGGCGUGGGGAUCAAACA
rnacentral:rRNA from 1 species